GUGCUCGCUUUGGCAGCACAUAUACUAAAAUUGGAACUAUACAGAGAAGAUUAGCAUGACCCCUGUGCAAGGAUGACACACAUUAUGAAGCAUUCCAUAUUUGU